AUUGAACGCUGGCGGCAGGCCUAACACAUGCAAGUCGAACGAGUGGCGGACGGGUGAGUAAUGGCUGGGAAACUGCCUGAUGGAGGGGGAUAACUACUGGAAACGGUAGCUAAUAACGCAUACCAUCGGAUGUGCCCAGAUGGGCUUAGCUAGUAGGUGGGGUAAAGGCUCACCUCGGCGACGAUCCCUAGAUGGUAUGAGAGGAUGACCAGCCACACUGGGACGUAGACACGGUCCAGACUCCAACGGGAGGCAGCAGUGGGGAAUAUUGCGCAAUGGGCGCAAGCCUGAUGCAGCCAUGCCGCGUGUAUGAAGAAGGCCUUCGGGUUGUAAAGUACUUUCAGCGGGGAAGCGUUACCCGCAGAAGAAGCACCGGCUAACUCCGUGCCAGCAGCCGCGGUAAUAC
rnacentral:rRNA from 1 species